GACGAACGCUGGCGGCGUGCCUAAUACAUGCAAGUUGAGCGAUGAAGCUUGGUGCUUGCCCCAAUUUGAAGAGCAGCGAACGGGUGAGUAACGCGUGGGGAAUCUGCCUUUGAGCGGGGGACAACAUUUGGAAACGAAUGCUAAUACCGCAUAACAACUUUAAACAUAAGUUUUAAGUUUGAAAGAUGCAAUUGCAUCACUCAAAGAUGAUCCCGCGUUGUAUUAGCUAGUUGGUGAGGUAAAGGCUCACCAAGGCGAUGAUACAUAGCCGACCUGAGAGGGUGAUCGGCCACAUUGGGACUGAGACACGGCCCAAACUCCUACGGGAGGCAGCAGUAGGGAAUCUUCGGCAAUGGACGAAAGUCUGACCGAGCAACGCCGCGUGAGUGAAGAAGGUUUUCGGAUCGUAAAAAUCUGUUGGUAGAGAAGAACGUUGGUGAGAGUGGAAAGCUCAUCAAGUGACGGUAACUACCCAGAAAGGGACGGCUAACUACGUG
rnacentral:rRNA from 1 species